GAUGAACGCUAGCGGGAGGCCUAAUACAUGCAAGUCGAACGGCAGCGGACCUUCGGGUGCCGGCGAGUGGCGAACGGGUGAGUAAUAUAUCGGAACGUACCUUUCAGUGGGGGAUAACGUAGCGAAAGUUACGCUAAUACCGCAUAUUCUGUGAGCAGGAAAGCAGGGGAUCGCAAGACCUUGCGCUGAUUGAGCGGCCGAUAUCAGAUUAGCUAGUUGGUGAGGUAAAGGCUCACCAAGGCGACGAUCUGUAGCGGGUCUGAGAGGAUGAUCCGCCACACUGGAACUGAGACACGGUCCAGACUCCUACGGGAGGCAGCAGUGGGGAAUUUUGGACAAUGGGCGCAAGCCUGAUCCAGCCAUGCCGCGUGAGUGAAGAAGGCCU
rnacentral:rRNA from 1 species